GUGGUCACUUUGGCAGCAUAUACACUAAAAUUGGAAUGAUACAGAGAUUAGCAUGGACCCUGCACAAAGAUGACAUGCAAACUGGUGAAGCAUUUCAUAUUUUU
ensembl:snRNA U6 U6 spliceosomal RNA